UCCCUUGUCGUCUAAUCCGGCAGGACGCGCGGCUCUGGUCCGCGUAAUCGAGGUUCGAGUCCUCGCAAGGGAGCCA
rnacentral:tRNA from 1 species